rnacentral:rRNA from 1 species
UACGUAGGGGGCAAGCGUUGUCCGGAAUUAUUGGGCGUAAAGAGCGUGUAGGCGGUCCGGUAAGUCAGCUGUGAAAGUCAAGGGCUCAACCCUUGAAUGCCGGUUGAUACUGUCGGGCUAGAGUCCGGAAGAGGCGAGUGGAAUUCCCGGUGUAGCGGUGAAAUGCGCAGAUAUCGGGAGGAACACCAAUGGCGAAGGCAGCUCGCUGGGACGGUACUGACGCUGAUGAGCGAAAGCCAGGGGAGCAAACAGG